rnacentral:rRNA from 1 species
UACGUAGGGGGCAAGCGUUGUCCGGAAUUAUUGGGCGUAAAGAGCGUGUAGGCGGCCAGAUAGGUCCGUUGUGAAAACUGGAGGCUUAACCUCCAGCGGUCGAUGGAAACCAUCUGGCUAGAGUCCGGAAGAGGAGAGUGGAAUUCCUGGUGUAGCGGUGAAAUGCGCAGAUAUCAGGAAGAACACCCGUGGCGAAGGCGGCUCUCUGGGACGGUACUGACGCUGAGACGCGAAAGCGUGGGGAGCGAACAGG